CCUACGGGGUGCAGCAGUGGGGAAUAUUGGGCAAUGGGCGCAAGCCUGACCCAGCAACGCCGCGUGAAGGAAGAAGGCUCUCGGGUUGUAAACUUCUUUUCUCAGGGACGAAACAAGUGACGGUACCUGACGAAUAAGCCACGGCUAACUACGUGCCAGCAGCCGCGGUAAUACGUAGGUGGCAAGCGUUAUCCGGAUUUACUGGGUGUAAAGGGCGUGUAGGCGGGAGAGCAAGUCAGACGUGAAAACCACGGGCUCAACCUGUGGCCUGCAUUUGAAACUGUAGUUCUUGAGUGCUGGAGAGGCAGACGGAAUUCCUAGUGUAGCGGUGAAAUGCGUAGAUAUAAGGAGGAACACCAGUGGCGAAGGCGGUCUGCUGGACAGCAACUGACGCUGAGGCGCGAAAGCGUGGGGAGCAAACAGGAUUAGAUACCCCGGUAGUC
rnacentral:rRNA from 1 species